AUGUACUGUUCGCAUGCGAAGAGGUUCUGGCACGAGGCUCGGUCAUGGUUUGAUCUACAUCUACCUCGGCUCCAUCCAGACUCCUGGGCGAGGGAUAUACUAUGUCAUGAUCGGUUCUCAGAGAAGGACAGGCCACUGACCAUUACGAUCAUGUGGGCCAUUUGGCACUCCCGCAAUAAAAUCAAACAUAACGAGGAAGGAAUAGACCCGGCAACAUCAAUGCGGCUGACGAGAGAGGCUUUCGCCAUUCUAGAUCUUCCUCGGAAUCUUACUAGGACCAUUGUGGGACAUGGAUGGCGGCUACCUGAGUUUGAUCACAUUUCUAUCACUACAGAUGGCGCCAUUGAUUUUGACACAAGCACUGGAGGUGCAGGUGGUGUGGCUCGUUCGGCAACCAAGAUGUUAGGAGCUUGGUGUAAACCUUAUAUGGGAAUCACCGACCCCCUCUUGGCUGAAGCUUAUGCACUUCGUGACGGGGUAUUGUUUGCAAGACUUCGAGGCUUCACACAUGUGAUCAUGGAAGUAGACUGCAUGGAGAUGGUUGAUCUCUGGAAUUCUCGCCACAAUUCGAGAUCUAUUGUGGCAGCUAUCUUAGUUCAGAUUGGAGAGCUAGCUCGUGAUUUUUCUUUUUUUGUUGUUCAACAUGUAAAUCGGUCAGCGAAUGUUCCGGCUCAUCUAUGUGCUAAGCGUGCUUGCACAUUGCAUGUAACGGAAAGCUGGCUUGAUGAGACUCCCAGCUUCCUUGUGACCAGCCUUAUGGUUGAUUGUCCAAGGAAUGCUCUUGUUUGA
rnacentral:rRNA from 1 species